rnacentral:rRNA from 1 species
GAUGAACGCUGGCGGCGUGCCUAAUACAUGCAAGUCGAACGGAAAGACGAGGAGGUUGCCCGUCGGACGUUAGCCGCGUGAGUGAGAGAAACGCGUGUAUCCGCUCCCUGUAAAUCUGGGAUCACUUGGUGAAACCGGAGCUCAUACGAUAUAAUAUAUUGAACCGCGUGGUUCAGUAGUUAAAGACGGCUUUGCGGUCACUGAUAGAUGGAUCCGCGGCUGAUUAGCUAGUUGGUAAGGUAAAGGCUUACCAAGGCGACGAUGCGUAGCCGACCUGAGAGGGUGAUCGGCCACACUGGAACUGAGACACGGCCCAGACUCCUACGGGAGGCAGCAGUAGGGAAUCUUGGGCAAUGGGCGAAAGCCUGACGCAGCAACGCCGCGUGAGUGAUGAAGGCCUUCGGAUCGUAAAACGCUGUUAUUCGGAAAGAACAGCUGUGUACUAAAAUAGAGAGGUCUUGACGGUACCGAAUGAAAAAGCACCGGCUAACUACGUG